AAGGGAUAAAACUCAGCGAUCUUUAAGCCUUUCACUUCCCUACAAUUUGUCAGCACAGUUGGGGGCUGGCUUCCUUUCCACAGAUCUGCAAGGAAGGUGAUGGGCUGCAUGGGGAUUUGCAAACUGAGGAAAACAGAGAGGAGUCCAGUGGGGGAAGGGAAGAUAGAAAAGAUCUUGAAGUCAGAAAAACUCAAGGUCCACAUUUAUCUUGGUGGCAGCAGCUACAAAUGUGAAAUCAAAGCUCUG